UGAUCAUACUAUAGGAGAUGAAUAAUUUGGCAAGUCAACAAUACACAUAUGAAUAACAAUAUGCCAUUCCAUAAGAAAUAAUGCUCAGUUCUUUAAUACAUUUUUCAUAUGAUGGCUACAGAAAGCAAAUAUAACCUAUUUAGCAACAGACUUUCAUGUUUUCGAUAAUUGAGACACUCCCUAGUGUUUGCAGCGGAAAAUGUUCAGACUCAAAAACUUACUAUACACGACAAUAGAUACACCUACAGCCGCAAGCUCUACAGGGUUGUUUAUCCUGAAACAAUAUUAGAGCAAUCAAAUUACCAGUAUACAACGUGAGCUAAAAACUAUGGAAAUGUAUUUGUACAUCAAAGUAGCAGGAUGUAGGUUGAUACAAACUGUAUGACAAGUACAAAAUAAAAGACCAGUGAUGUAACUAUAAUGUUAAGUUACACAAAAUUCCAUGCUAGAUUGACCAGCAAUCAUUUUCAGCACAUGUUGUCUAAUUCCCACACAUUAAGCAGAGAGAAACUGAGAUGAGAAUCAAUGAAGCAAUACAACUUGGAUGCAACACACCUCCCAACCCAAAGCUUUCAUGAAAAUACCAAAAAGUGAGGUAACUAUUUGUUUGUUCCAUGGUACCAUGAUAAUGGAUUGGCUUUUCAAAAUGCCCUGAUAUAUCCUAUUACAGCCAGAACAUGGAAACUUUAUACUAUUGUGCAGGUGUUCAACUCCAAGUUAAAAUAUGGAUUGAUAGUUGUGGUAGACCAUAAUUACCUUCAUUGGUAAUUUCAGCCGAGAAUCACCUUACAGAGCAGGAACCAAAAAGAAAUCAAAGAAAAGGACAGAUAUGAAAUGACCCAUCCCUGGAGCUCAUCCCAGACUAACCAC
rnacentral:lncRNA from 1 species